UACAGGGGGGGCAAGCGUUGUUCGGAAUUACUGGGCGUAAAGGGUUCGUAGGUGGCUUACUAAGUCAGACGUGAAAUCCCUCAGCUUAACUGGGGAACUGCGUCCGAUACUGGAAGGCUUGAAUCCGGGAGAGGGAUGCGGAAUUCCAGGUGUAGCGGUGAAAUGCGUAGAUAUCUGGAGGAACACCGGUGGCGAAGGCGGCAUCCUGGACCGGUAUUGACGCUGAGGCGCGAAAGCCAGGGGAGCAAACGGG
rnacentral:rRNA from 1 species